GACGAACGCUGGCGGCGUGCUUAACACAUGCAAGUCGAACGGAAAGGCCCUGCUUUUGUGGGGUGCUCGAGUGGCGAACGGGUGAGUAACACGUGAGUAACCUGCCCUUGACUUUGGGAUAACUUCAGGAAACUGGGGCUAAUACCGGAUAGGAGCUCCUGCUGCAUGGUGGGGGUUGGAAAGUUUCGGCGGUUGGGGAUGGACUCGCGGCUUAUCAGCUUGUUGGGGGGGUAGCGGCUUACCAAGGCUUUGACGGGUAGCCGGCCUGAGAGGGUGACCGGCCACAUUGGGACUGAGAUACGGCCCAGACUCCUACGGGAGGCAGCAGUGGGGAAUAUUGCACAAUGGGCGGAAGCCUGAUGCAGCAACGCCGCGUGCGGGAUGACGGCCUUCGGGUUGUAAACCGCUUUCGCCUGUGACGAAGCGUGAGUGACGGUAAUGGGUAAAGAAGCACCGGCUAACUACGUG
rnacentral:rRNA from 1 species